AUUAUUAUUAUCUAAUGGUACUAUUGAUAACACUGAUAACAAUCAGCCACUAGAUGUCACACUCUCCCUCCCCCGGUCCAUUGCAUUCACUUCACAACAAGUGGUUGCCAGUUUGUUGCACAACCUGCAUAUUUUAUGGUCAAGUGGAGUGAGACUCAGACAGACAGUCAUGUCAAGUGAUGAAUCUUUCGCGGUAGAGUAAUGAAGUCAUUUUUGCAACAUGUAGCUAUACAUUAGCUAUAGAUUUAGAUUACUUUGUGCGGUGAUGUUUCAAGAUUCAUGUAAAG